rnacentral:snRNA from 1 species
AGCUUUGCGCAGUGGUAGUACCGUAGCCAAUGACGUUUAUCCAAGGCGCGAUUAUUGCUAAUUGUAUUCAAAAAGAUCAGAGAGUUCAAAACCUAGCAGCUAAGUGGACAAUUAAAAAUAACACACAUGUU